GCGGCGUGCUUAACACAUGCAAGUCGAACGGAAAGGCCCUGCUUUUGUGGGGUGCUCGAGUGGCGAACGGGUGAGUAACACGUGAGUAACCUGCCCUUGACUUUGGGAUAACUUCAGGAAACUGGGGCUAAUACCGGAUAGGAGCUCCUGCUGCAUGGUGGGGGUUGGAAAGUUUCGGCGGUUGGGGAUGGACUCGCGGCUUAUCAGCUUGUUGGUGGGGUAGUGGCUUACCAAGGCUUUGACGGGUAGCCGGCCUGAGAGGGUGACCGGCCACAUUGGGACUGAGAUACGGCCCAGACUCCUACGGGAGGCAGCAGUGGGGAAUAUUGCACAAUGGGCGGAAGCCUGAUGCAGCAACGCCGCGUGCGGGAUGACGGCCUUCGGGUUGUAAACCGCUUUCGCCUGUGACGAAGCGUGAGUGACGGUAAUGGGUAAAGAAGCACCGGCUAACUACGUGCCAGCAGCCGCGGUGAUACGUAGGGUGCGAGCGUUGUCCGGAUUUAUUGGGCGUAAAGGGCUCGUAGGUGGUUGAUCGCGUCGGAAGUGUAAUCUUGGGGCUUAACCCUGAGCGUGCUUUCGAUACGGGUUGACUUGAGGAAGGUAGGGGAGAAUGGAAUUCCUGGUGGAGCGGUGGAAUGCGCAGAUAUCAGGAGGAACACCAGUGGCGAAGGCGGUUCUCUGGGCCUUUCCUGACGCUGAGGAGCGAAAGCGUGGGGAGCGAACAGGCUUAGAUACCCUGGUAGUCCACGCUGUAAACGGUGGGUACUAGGUGUGGGGUCCAUUCCACGGGUUCCGUGCCGUAGCUAACGCUUUAAGUACCCCGCCUGGGGAGUACGGCCGCAAGGCUAAAACUCAAAGGAAUUGACGGGGCCCCGCACAAGCGGCGGAGCAUGCGGAUUAAUUCGAUGCAACGCGUAGAACCUUACCUGGGUUUGACAUGGAUCGGGAGCGCUCAGAGAUGGGUGUGCCUCUUUUGGGGUCGGUUCACAGGUGGUGCAUGGCUGUCGUCAGCUCGUGUCGUGAGAUGUUGGGUUAAGUCCCGCAACGAGCGCAACCCUUGUUCACUGUUGCCAGCACGUUAUGGUGGGGACUCAGUGGAGACCGCCGGGGUCAACUCGGAGGAAGGUGGGGAUGACGUCAAGUCAUCAUGCCCCUUAUGUCCAGGGCUUCACGCAUGCUACAAUGGCUGGUACAGAGAGUGGCGAGCCUGUGAGGGUGAGCGAAUCUCGGAAAGCCGGUCUCAGUUCGGAUUGGGGUCUGCAACUCGACCUCAUGAAGUCGGAGCCGCUAGUAAUCGCAGAUCAGCAACGCUGCGGUGAAUACGUUCCCGGGGCUUGUACACACCGCCCGUCAAGUCAUGAAAGUUGGUAACACCCGAAGCCGGUGGCCUAACCGUUGUGGGGGAGCCGUCGAAGGUGGGACUGGUGAUU
rnacentral:rRNA from 1 species